AUACGGAGGGUGCAAGCGUUAAGCGGAAUUACUGGGCGUAAAGCGCUCGUAGGCGGCUUGUUAAGUCGGAUGUGAAAGUCCCGGGCUCAACCUGGGAACUGCAUUCGAUGCUGACAAGCUAGAGUAUAGUAGAGGCAAGUGGAAUUCCGGGUGUAGCGGUGAAAUGCGUAGAUAUCCGGAGGAACAUCAGUGGCGAAGGCGACUUGCUGGACUAAUACUGACGCUGAGGUGCGAAAGCGUGGGGAGCAAACAGGAUUAGAAACCCCGGUAGUCC
rnacentral:rRNA from 1 species